GAGACUCACAACAGCAAAAAAUAACAACAUCUCCAUCCGCGAUUUGUUUUCCUUUCUGUGCGAGUGUGCGUGUGUGUUGCAAACUCGAAAGUGGCCGGGAAGCUUUAGAGCCGAGUCGAGGAUAGAACAGGAGAGGUGGGCGAGGAGGGAGGGAGAAGAGGGGGCCACCUUCCCCAUCUCCUCCCUGCUGCUGCUGGAGCUGGAUUCUCUCCUGGAAGCUAGUCCCGAGCGGAGGAAUCUAUUGUUAUUUAUUGUGUGGCUGUUGCAUGCUUUACUUGCUACACAAGAUCUCGCAUGUGUGUGUGUGUAUAUAUGUGCGCCUGAAUGUGUGUGUAUGUGUGAAAAGGAGAGAAAACACCUUAGUUUGCACCGAGAGACCAUUUGCAGCGGAGCCGAAAGUUUGUCUGCAGGAGGAAACAGGGUUAGCAGCAGCAACAGCAGCAACAGCAGCAACAGCAGCAGCAGCAGCAACAGCAGUAGCAGCAGCAGCAGCAGCAGCAACAGCAGCAGCAGCGGUUCCUGUUGAGGAUAUGGUGCUGCCGCUCCGAGAGCCUUAAAGCGGGCCCGCUAAGAGCUUCCCUCUGUUCUCGGUGGUCGGCUCCUGGAGGCUUGGCUUGAGGAGACACACACAGAGAAGAGACAGAGAGAGAUACACACAGCAGGAGAUUCUGAAUCAGCAGAUCCACUGAAAGACAGAGAGAGUGGGGAUCAGAGAGAAUCUAAAGUGUCCCAAGAGACUUUUCUGAUCAAUUCCAGUUUCAGCAAUUUAUUUGGCAAUGGUAAAUGUUUUAAUCCCUUCUCAGAGGUGUUCUGAACCAUGAGUGGAUAAAUGUGAUGACCGCAAACAAAAACGGUCUGUGCCUUCCUUUGGCUUCCACUAAUCUCAGUUGGAUCAGUGCCGUUAUCCAAAAUGCAGACUUCAACACUGAGUGGUAAUGAAGAAAGUUUUAUCAUGUGACAAUUCUUUACUUUUUUCCCAUUCUAUUUAUUUCCAUUGACUGUGAUACACAAAUAAGAAGUAUGUAACUUACUGAUGUCGAGUUAUUAAAGAUCUCAAACUAAA